rnacentral:rRNA from 1 species
AGAGUUUGAUCCUGGCUCAGAGCGAACGCUGGCGGCAGGCCUAACACAUGGAAGUCGAGCGGUCCUUCGGGACAGUGGCGGACGGGUGAGUAACACGUGGGAACGUGCCCUUUGGUACGGAACAACUCAGGGAAACUUGAGCUAAUACCGUAUGUGCCCUACGGGGGAAAGAUUUAUCGCCAUUGGAGCGGCCCGCGUCUGAUUAGCUAGUUGGUGAGGUAAAGGCUCACCAAGGCGACGAUCAGUAGCUGGUCUGAGAGGAUGAUCAGCCACACUGGGACUGAGACACGGCCCAGACUCCUACGGGAGGCAGCAGUGGGGAAUAUUGGACAAUGGGCGCAAGCCUGAUCCAGCCAUGCCGCGUGAGUGAUGAAGGCCUUAGGGUUGUAAAGCUCUUUCAGUGGGGACGUAUAAUGACGGUACC